rnacentral:rRNA from 1 species
GAUGAACGCUGGCGGCGUGCCUAAUACAUGCGAGUCGAGCGAACAGACGAGGAGCUUGCUCCUCUGACGUUAGCGGCGGACGGGUGAGUAACACGUGGAUAACCUACCUAUAAGACUGGGAUAACUUCGGGAAACCGGAGCUAAUACCGGAUAAUAUAUUGAACCGCAUGGUUCAAUAGUGAAAGACGGUUUUGCUGUCACUUAUAGAUGGAUCCGCGCCGCAUUAGCUAGUUGGUAAGGUAACGGCCUACCAAGGCAACGAUGCGUAGCCGAACUGAGAGGGUGAUCGCCCACACUGGAACUGAGCCACGGUCCAGACUCCUACGGGAGGCAGCAGUAGGGAAUCUUCCGCAAUGGUCGAAAGCCUUACGGAGCAACGCCGCGUGAGUGAUGAAGGUCUUCGGAUCGUAAAACUCUGUUAUUAGGGAAGAACAAAUGUGUAAGUAACUAUGCACGUCUUGACGGUACCUAAUCAGAAAGCCACGGCUAACUACGUG